CAAUAGCGUAUAUUAAGGUUGUUGCAGUUAAAAAGCUCGUAGUUGAAUUUUUGCUUGCCGCCGAUGUCGGAACUUCCGUACGUUCGGCGGCGUGCAUCCUUGGGUGGAACCUGUGUGGCAUUAGGUUGUCGUGCAGGGGAUGCUCAUCGUUUACUGUGAAAAAAUUAGAGUGUUCAAAGCAGGCUUAUGCCGUUGAAUAUAUUAGCAUGGAAUAAUAAGAUAGGACCUUGGUACUAUUUUGUUGGUUUGCGCACCGAGGUAAUGAUUAACAGGGACAGUUGGGGGUAUUCGUAUUCCAUUGUCAGAGGUGAAAUUCUUGGAUUUCUGGAAGACGAACUACUGCGAAAGCAUUUACCAAGGAUGUUUUCAUUAA
rnacentral:rRNA from 1 species